AUGCUAGAGAAAAACAUGUGCAACAAGACCAAGGCUGGAGAACUGUGUGGUGUGUGUUUACAGAUAGAGAAACGGGGGAAAAAGCAAGUUGCCAAAACUGGAGGCAAGGCAAACAGAUAUCUGGGAAAACCUUGGUCUGAGGGGCAGAAGGAAACUCAAAUGGUGGCCAGCGAUAGCCAUGUAACAACUAGACAUCCCUGGACAUUUUUCUGGAUAUAUCUCAAUGAAGAGCAAAGAUGAUAAAGUUCCCAGUUUAAUAGAACUGUAAAUAAAAUGUUACUAGCUCCUGUAGAACACUGUCCUCGAAUGCAUCCUACGGUAAGAAAUUAUCUCAUAAUAAGUUUCUUAUAUUGCUCCUUUCUCCUCCAUACAAAUACUACCAACUUACUCUUUAUGGCCCAAUGCAAGUCUUGUGAUUUGACCACAUAGCCUUGCCUCAAUCAUAUUUCAUCUUCCUCUUAACUUUCAUAGCCUUUAUGACCUGUAC
rnacentral:lncRNA from 1 species